rnacentral:lncRNA from 1 species
UGCCUGUUUGGUUUGGCGUUAGAAUACCUCUAAUGUGCGUUUGGAGCAGUCAAACGUGGUUUGACCGUAAAAAUUCAUGUUUGGCUUUGGAUAUGUGUAAAUCGAUUCUAACCCAAACGCACGGUGGGCCUGAAGCUAGGAUUCGGAGCUUCUACGUUUGAUAGAAUCGAUUCUGAAAAUUCGAUUUUGUUUCCCAAAGCCAUUUUCCGUUAUUACCCUUUAUAAGCAUCGAUCUGCCAUAGUUGAAAACAAUAUGUUUUUCAUAAGGAAGAAGUAAAGAGGAAAAAUUGGUGUUGCAGGGAAGAACAUGUUGCUUCCAUGGUAUCUCAACUUGCUUUUUAUGGCAAGGUAGUGACUCAAUUUCUUCAACAU